rnacentral:rRNA from 1 species
ACGAACGCUGGCGGCACGCUUAACACAUGCAAGUCGAACGAGAGAAGAGGAGCUUGCUUUUCUGAUCUAGUGGCGGACGGGUGAGUAACACGUGAGCAAUCUGCCUUUCAGAGGGGGAUACCGAUUGGAAACGAUCGUUAAUACCGCAUAACAUAAUUGAACCGCAUGAUUUGAUUAUCAAAGAUUUAUCGCUGAAAGAUGAGCUCGCGUCUGAUUAGCUAGUUGGUAAGGUAACGGCUUACCAAGGCGACGAUCAGUAGCCGGACUGAGAGGUUGAUCGGCCACAUUGGGACUGAGACACGGCCCAGACUCCUACGGGAGGCAGCAGUGGGGAAUAUUGCACAAUGGAGGAAACUCUGAUGCAGCGAUGCCGCGUGAGGGAAGAAGGUUUUAGGAUUGUAAACCUCUGUCUUCAGGGACGAAAAAAGACGGUACCUGAGGAGGAAGCUCCGGCUAACUACGUGCCAGCAGCCGCGGUAAUACGUAGGGAGCGAGCGUUGUCCGGAAUUACUGGGUGUAAAGGGAGCGUAGGCGGGAUCGCAAGUCAGAUGUGAAAACUAUGGGCUUAACCCAUAAACUGCAUUUGAAACUGUGGUUCUUGAGUGAAGUAGAGGUAAGCGGAAUUCCGAGUGUAGCGGUGAAAUGCGUAGAUAUUAGGAGGAACAUCAGUGGCGAAGGCGGCUUACAGAGCUUUAACUGAGGCUGAGGCUAGAAAGCGUGGGGAGCAAACAGGAUUAGAUACCCUGGUAGUCCACGCCGUAAACGAUGAUUACUAGGUGUGGGGGGACUGACCCCUUCCGUGCCGCAGCAAACGCAAUAAGUAAUCCACCUGGGGAGUACGACCGCAAGGUUGAAACUCAAAGGAAUUGACGGGGGCCCGCACAAGCAGUGGAGUAUGUGGAUUAAUUCGAAGCAACGCGAAGAACCUUACCAGGUCUUGACAUCGUAUGCAUAGCUCAGAGAUGAGUGAAAUCUCUUCGGAGACAUAUAGACAGGUGGUGCAUGGUUGUCGUCAGCUCGUGUCGUGAGAUGUUGGGUUAAGUCCCGCAACGAGCGCAACCCUUACUGUUAGUUGCUACGCAAGAGCACUCUAGCAGGACUGCCGUUGACAAAACGGAGGAAGGUGGGGAUGACGUCAAAUCAUCAUGCCCCUUAUGACCUGGGCCUCACACGUACUACAAUGGCUGUCAACAGAGGGAUGCAAAGCCGCGAGGUGGAGCGAACCCCUAAAAGCAGUCUUAGUUCGGAUUGUAGGCUGCAACCCGCCUACAUGAAGUCGGAAUUGCUAGUAAUCGCAGAUCAGCAUGCUGCGGUGAAUACGUUCCCGGGCCUUGUACACACCGCCCGUCACGCCAUGGGAGUCGGUAACACCCGAAGCCUGUAGUCUAACCGCAAGGAGGACGCAGUCGAAGGUGGGAUUGAUGACUGGGGUG